CCUACGGGAGGCUGCAGUGGGGAAUAUUGGACAAUGGGCGAAAGCCUGAUCCAGCCAUGCCGCGUGUGUGAAGAAGGCCUUCGGGUUGUAAAGCACUUUCAGUGGGGAAGAAAGCCUUGGGGCUAAUACCCUCGAGGAAGGACAUCACCCACAGAAGAAGCACCGGCUAACUCCGUGCCAGCAGCCGCGGUAAUACGGAGGGUGCGAGCGUUAAUCGGAAUUACUGGGCGUAAAGCGCGCGUAGGCGGUCUGAUAAGCCGGUUGUGAAAGCCCCGGGCUCAACCUGGGAACGGCAUCCGGAACUGUCAGGCUAGAGUGCAGGAGAGGAAGGUAGAAUUCCCGGUGUAGCGGUGAAAUGCGUAGAGGUCGGGAGGAAUACCAGUGGCGAAGGCGGCCUUCUGGACUGACACUGACGCUGAGGUGCGAAAGCGUGGGUAGCAAACAGGAUUAGAUACCCUAGUAGUC
rnacentral:rRNA from 1 species